GGUGGGGUGGGUGUGUCACAGGAAUUGGGAGCUAGGCACCCUGAAGAGCUCUUCCAGGCCGGGUGGGGGUGGGGUGUCAGUUCUGCAGGAUCUGCCAGAGGACGUCUCAUGUUCCAGACACACAGGCACUGAGAGGUGGCGAUACAAGGUGGGAAAACCAAGGGCCACGGUUGACUCAUUUAGGACAAUUUCCCAAAAUUUGCACCUCAGAAUACUAGCUCCAAGGGAUAUUAAACUCAGAAAAAAGGGCUAAAAGACCAAAUAAAUUUAGGAAAUGCUGGAUUAAAUAAAGGUUUCAUAUUUACAGCAAUACCAUUCAGAGGCCUUUCAUAUGCUAACAUGAUGUUCUCCAAGAGGGGACGUACACUGAUCCAAUCAUUGCCUUUAAUUUAAGAAAAAAGGAAGGAAGGCUGUUUGGAGGGGCAGAGAUAAUGCUAUGUUUUCAUCAAAUCCUAUUUCUGUCUUUCCGGAUACCGAGAAGACAACAUUGCCAGCCUCCCUUGAAGUUAGCUUGGGGCAUGUGACUAAUUCUGGCCAACUGGCUGGGAACAGAAGUAACAUGUGGCACAUCCAAGCCAAAGCAUUUAAGAGCUGGGACCCAACCCUCUAGUUCUCUCUUCCUCUGAUGUGAUCGUGGAGGUCACAUACUGAGGUGGCACAGAAAGGCAGCAACCUGAAUCACAGAGUCCCCUUCAGGAAGGCAGCUGCCCUAAAAAGUCACCUGACUCAGAACAGACCUAUCAGUAAAAACUCAGCACUUGUGUCAGGCCGGUGAAAUGUCUGGGUUAAUUACUGCAGCCUAGCUGAGCCCAUCCUGACCACGCGUCAGCUAAAAAAUGUCACGGGAAAGGCAGUACGCUAGCCCAGAAGGGAGAAGGUCAGCGCCCAACCGCUUGUGCCUUUAGUCAGCUAAAAGGGGUGUGUCUCAGACAGUCCAAGGGGCAAAGAUGAGGGAGUCUCUACCUGCAGCUCUGUCACCCCCCCAACACAGUUAAUACCCUGUUUGGCAAUGACGGUUACCUGGACCAUAACUGAGCCCUGCUCGGGGUGACACCUGACGAGAUGUGGGCUGACUCCAACAAGGCAGGUGGGAGGGGGCAAUAGCGCAUCCCCCCACUGCCUUCCUGUGGCACCAGAGGGUCUGCUGGGUUUGUGGUGGUCUUCUCCUGGGUCUUGGGAUGUCCAGGUUAGCCAGGGCAGACAGGCAGAGGGCAAAGGUGGAAAGGAGAUCCUCUCUCCUCAGAACAAUUUUGGCGUGGUGGGGGCCAGCGGGGGACAGUAAGGGGCAGAAGGUCGACAGAUGGGUAAUUUAUACCAGGCCCCAUGAAGUGUGGAGCUGAGGGUCUGGCCUCCAUUCUGGCAUCUUCUGCUGCAGAGGGAAGAAACUGAGGGAUAAAGGACAAUGACGGAAAGAAAGAAAAUAAUAAAACCACGGCUACUGCUUAACAAAGCUGCUCUUCCCCUUAAAACAUGGGGGCCAUAUUUUGCCACUAGUGGCUGGGUGGCUGUCUCAGGGGUGAGAGAGUGAGCAGAGAAUGGAGAACAUGUUGAUUGAAAAGGAAGCCCUCUUAGAUAAGAUUUGCUGUAUCCAAGAUAACAAAGCCCAGUGCUGUUGUUUGUAUUUCUUAACGUUUUUAGGUCAGUGUUUUGCAAACUUCAGUUGUAUCAUAAACAUGGUCUGGGGAACAUACACAGACCCAGGCCACGUCCUGCUGCAACAAGCCUGGGCCUCUGCAUUCUUCCAAGCAAAGAUCCACAGGACCAACUUCCAGAUGAUUCUGACACACCCCCAAGUGUGGGAACCGUUGAUCUAGGCCAUCCUGCCGAUUAUGGAAAGGAAGCUCAGAAGAUCAUCACUGCUGAUGCUUUGGUUGCAGAUUUUCUUAAAUGUCUGGUGAUCACUGAUGGGUUAUACAUACUUAAAAAUGAGGCCACAAAAAGCUGACUGAGAGCCCCUGUUGGUGGGUAGAGCUCGUCAUCCUGGGAGCCCUGUUUUUAGGAAGAUUAGCCCUGAGCUAACAUCCGUGCCCAUCUUCCUCAACUUUAUA